rnacentral:lncRNA from 1 species
GCCCCUUGCCACGCAAGAAGUGCCUUUUGCCUCCCACCAUAAUUCUGAGGCCUCCCCAACCAUGUGGAACUGUUGGAGUGCAAUGGCGUGAUCUCCGCUCACUGCAACCUCUGCCUCCCAGGUUCAAGUGAUUCUCCCGCCUCAGCCACCCAAGUAGCUGGGAUUCCAGGUGCCCACCACCAUGCUUGGCUAAUUUUUGUAUUUUUAGUAGAGAUAGGGUUACACCAUGUUAACCAGGCUGGUCUCAAACUCCUGACCUCAGGUGAUCCACCUGCCUCGGCCUCCCAAAGUGCUGGGAUUACAGGCGUGAGCCACCGCGCAUGGCCGCAAAGUUUAUUUAGACAAUUGCGCUGAACCAUAAGGAAUAUCUCUGUGUGCUGUGACUUCUUUGAGCUGGUCUGAAUCCUAGCUAUGUGGUUAUGUACAUUUCAUUUUCAUCAACAGGACAGCCUGGCUGUCUGGCAAAACUAAAGAAAGAUUAUUUUGCUUAUCUAUUCCUCUCCCUCAUAGCCCUCCCCAAAUUAUAAAAUACUUUUGAAAGCAUGUAAAUGGUGUAGUAGUUGAGCUCAUUUUCCUUAUCUUGCAGGUAUGCAUAAGCCCUGCUCAAUCUACAAAACAAAACGAAAAUCUCAACUUUAUAAAACACUAAUAAUUUACUACAGUAUUUCUUCAAACACACACACAUAACUGACAUUUAUUGAGUGCUUUCUGUGUGCCAGGCCUAGGUCUAAGUUCUUUAUGUAAAUUAACUCACCCCUCGCAGCCCUCUUCCUGGGGCUGGUAGGAAUGCCUGUCUGUGGUCGGUGCUGAGAUGGGGCUCAGCCCCAGUGAGCAUCUUGUGAUCCUCCUAGGUGAUCAGAUGGCCGUCAGCCCCAUGGUCAUCCUUGUCCAUGAUGCACACACUUAGUUGUCUUCUUGUUGGCAUAAAAGGAUGCCAGUCUCCGCUGUUUCAGACAACAACCCCAGAAGGAUCAUUUGGAAGGGACUGUGGCUGUGUUCUGAAAGCUUCUUGACACCCCAGGUAAGGUCAAGAAAACAGCACACCAAAACUUGCAAAAGAGGUGUCUGAGGCUUGAUGAAGGUCCAGGAGAAAAUGCUGCCGGUGUCCUGAUGGCACAGAGCAAAGACCUUUGAGUGGAAACUCAUGGACCACAAUGAACAGGCCGCAGGUGGUAGAAUUUGGAAUGCUGGAUUCUGCUUCUGACCUUGACACCUAAUACACGGUUCUCGCCCUUUGAUACUUGGACUCUGAAUUGAAAAAGAUCUAGAACUAUCCUAACUGGUUUUAAAAAUUAUAUGCUCCUUUGUGUGUGUGUGUAUAAGAAUGACAU